AGUCGAGGGGUACAGGGCUUCGGCCGCUGACGACCGGCAAACGGGUGCGGAAUAGUACACAACAUACCUCUUUCUGGGGCAUAGCCCGAAGAAAUUCGGAUUAACACCCCAUAGUAUUGACUGGUGGCAUCACCUAACAAUUAAAAAUUUAUUGGAAAGAGAUUGGCGUGCGUCCUAUUAGCUAGUUGGUAAGGGUAACGGCCUACCAAGGCGACGAUAGGUAGCUGGUGUGAGAGCACGACCAGCCACACGGGCACUGAGACACGGGCCCGACUCCUACGGGAGGCAGCAGUAAGGAAUAUUGGACAAUGCCCGCAAGGGUGAUCCAGCCAUGCCGCGUGCAGGAAGACGGCCCUAUGGGUUGUAAACUGCUUUUACACCGGAGAAAACCCCCUUUCGUGAAAGGGGCUGAUAGUAUGGUGAGAAUAAGCAUCGGCUAACUUCGUGCCAGCAGCCGCGGUAAUACGAAGGAUGCAAGCGUUAUCCGGAUUCAUUGGGUUUAAAGGGAGCGUAGGUGGCCUUAUAAGUCAGUGGUGAAAUCUCUUGGCUUAACCAAGAAAUUGCCAUUGAUACUGUAGGGCUUGAGUAUAGUUGCCGUUGGCGGAAUAUGACAUGUAGUGGUGAAAUACAUAGAGAUGUCAUAGAACACCGAUUGCGAAGGCAGCUGACGAAACUAUAACUGACACUGAGGCUCGAAAGUGCGGGGAUCAAACAGGAUUAGAUACCCUGGUAGUCCGCACUGUAAACGAUGAUUACUCGCUGCUAGGGGGCAACCUUUAGUGGCUUAGCGAAAGCGAUAAGUAAUCCACCUGGGGAGUACGCCGGCAACGGUGAAACUCAACGGAAUUGACGGGGGCCCGCACAAGCGGAGGAGCAUGUGGUUUAAUUCGAUGAUACGCGAGGAACCUUACCAGGGCUUGAAAGUUAGUGACCGACUCUGAAAGGAGUCUUUCCGCAAGGACACGAAACUAGGUGCUGCAUGGCUGUCGUCAGCUCGUGCCGUGAGGUGUUGGGUUAAGUCCCGCAAGGAGCGCAACCCCUACCAUUAGUUGCCAGCGGUUCGGCCGGGGACUCUAGUGGAACUGCCCGCGCAAGCGGUGAGGAAGGUGGGGGUGACGUCAAGUCAUCACGGCCCUUACGUCCUGGGCUACACACGUGCUACAAUGGCUAUUACAGAGGACAGCUACAUAGUAAUAUGAUGCAAAUCUUCAAAAAUAGUCUCAAUUGGGAUUGGGGUCUGCAACUCGACCCCAUGAAGCGGAUUCG
rnacentral:rRNA from 1 species